UUACGGCCAUAACAUGUUCAUUUCACCGGUUCUUGUACGAGCACCGAAGUUAAGCAACAUCGAACCUGGUCAGUACCUAUAUGGGUGACAGCUUGGGAAUACCAGGUGCUGUAAG